AAACAGUGCACGCGAAAAAAUAUGUUACGACGUAACUACAAAUUGCGGCGGGUGACUGGAGUGUCGGGGAACGGCCGACCGGACACGCGGAUAACGUUACAGUACCCGUCGGGGAAAAACGGAAGGCGCAAAAAUCGCGGAGUCGGCGUAUAAUAGUUUGUAAAAAUCCAAUAGAAAUCAUCGUGCACCAAACGGACCGUGAAAACGCGUGGAUAAAACUCCCCAUAUUCACGGAAAAUCGCUAAGGAGAUUUAUACAGCGCCGUCGUUGUCACACGAUAGACCAGCCACCAGUGCGAGGAAUUAUUAUUAGCGAGAAGUUUGGGAACACGUGAGUAUAAUUUUUAUUUCUAAUUUAUUUAAUUGAUUAAUAAUUAAUUUUAAAAUUAUAAGUUUAAAUUAAUUAUAGUUUUUUUUUUUUGAAAAAUGAUAUAUAUAUAUAUAUAGAAAAUGAAUUUCAACUUCUACAAUUGUACUAAAUUUAAUAUAGUUGGCAGUGGCUGACGAAAAAUGCGUAGUAAGUUGUUGCAAUAUUAUAUACUACAAAUUCUAUUGUUCGUCACAUAAAAGCUUUUCGGUGUAACUAUAUUUUAUUUUAUCUUUCAGAAUGUUUUAAAUGCCAACUAUGGUGGCACGUAGCCUGUCAUUAUGGUAAGUGAAAAGUUGUUAAAAAUGUUAAAAUAAAAUUAAUAAUUAAUAUCUUUAUAAGAUAAAGGCCAGAGGCUGUGGCAGUGGUGGCGGCAAUGACAUUGUCGAUGACAGUGGAGCCGAUGAACUUGGUGUGUUAUGUAUAAAAUAGAAUGACUAAAUUAAGACAAAAUUAAAAUCCACCCAUUGAUCUAACAAACAAAUAACAACUCUAGGUGGUUAUAAGUUGAGAGAAAAUCUAACAUUUUAACAUAUUACAUUAUCGUUAAUAUUAAUUAAUAGUAUCUAAAAUAGUAGAUACUAUCUUAAAUCAUGUCUACCAUGUAUUAUAAUUAUAUUGAUUAUGUCAUUAAAAUAAUUAUUGUGAUAAGUUAAUAUUUUGAAAAGCGUACAACAGCAUUCAUUGAUGAAGUUUAUAUAAUAUUAUGGAAGAAUCUGAAAUACCUAGUAAGCUUGUGACACUAAAAUAUAUAUGGAAGGUACAAAAUACCAGGUGAGGGUAGACGGGAGAUUAGCUGAGGCUUUCAUGGUACAACCCAGCUGAAAAUAAGAAAAAUCACUAUCCUCGUUAUUGUGUAUAAUUUAAUGCUAGAAAAGGCAGAAAGAAUGAUGCAAAGAGAGGCAAAUGGAAUAACAAUAGAUGGACAUUAAGUGUGGAUUUUAGGUUUUGCAUAUGAUUUGAAUAUUCUUAGUGAGUCACUGGAGGGUGCUAUAGAUCUACACAACUACAGUAGGAUUAAAAACUAAUGUGGAAAAACCAAUAUAUUGGAGCUUGUCAGCAAUGUGUUACCUCAAAUCUUAAGAGUAUAGUCUCUAUAGUGUUUGAAAAAGUUGAAGGAUUCCAAUAUCUCAAUAAAAAACAAAUGAUUGGUCACGAUCACAAACAAAGUCAGAAAGAGAUUCUUUUCCCUGACUAAUUUCUUUGAAUACAAAGUUUUCUCUAAGAAAACAAAACUUAAGACUGUACACAGUAAUGAUUAGACCUACGCUCACUUAAGGAUGUGAAGUAUAGACUACGAUAAGUGUAAUAGUAAGGUUAGGUUUAGUUAGGACUUAGAACUUUUGAAAAUAAAAUUAGGAGAAUGAUAUGUGAACCAGUUGAAUGAAUGGAGUAGUCAUUUUAAUAAGGAAGUUUGAAAACUGGGAUGAAUAUUAAUCACUCGUGUAGAAGAAAAAGAAAAUAGGUUAAUCUCUACAGUGUAUCAAAUUAAUUUGAACGUUUUUGGUGGGAAUCAUUAAAAUUAAAAAUAAAUUUGAUACUUACCAAAAUCAAAAAUAUCCUAUAUAUAUAUAUAUAUUAUUACAAGAACCCAAAACCUCAAAAUUCUUGUAGAUAUUUAAUCUUAUAGGAUAAAUUGUAAAUGUUUACAUUUUUUUUUUUUCAAACUAAAUAAUUCAUAUGUUUCUGAAUGUAUUUUAUUAUUACACAUAUAACAAUAUCAGUUAAUAUUUAUAUCUUGAAAUUUUUUUGAUUAUUUUUAUUUGUGCACAAUAUUAAACUAGAAAUAUUAAAUAACAUUCAUGAAAUAUAGUCAUUAAAUAGUACAUAAUUGGUAGAUAUUAUAAUGUUAUUUCAAUAAUAUUCUUUUUUAUUCAUUGUUUUCAGCAUGACAGAGACAACAUUAUAGGAAGUUGUUAUAACCUAAAUUUACAUGAUAUUUAAUAAAGUAUUGUAAUUAAAUAAUUAUUAUAAGAAAAUGAAUAAUUACAUACAUUUGCAAAUAAUUGUAAAUUAAUAAUUUUUGUUGGCGAAGCUUUUAACAUAAGUUGAUGAGUAUUAUUCAUUUGCAUAGACAAUAGCAACAAUUUUUUAAAUUUUAAAUCUGCAGUUGUCCAAUUACCAGAAUAUAUUGCAAAGUUGAUGGAUUCCUUCUGUAUAAAUACACAGUAAUUUUCAAACAAGUUCUAAAUAAAUAGGACAUUUUAAUAUUUACUUGAAGGUUUAAAUUAUCAAAUAAAUAACAAUAUAAAUAUAACUCUGAACAGUAAAAUACAAAUAUUGUGGCGAGUUUGAAUACCGACAUAAGGGAAAAUAGUUCUGGUGAUGUACAAACCUAUAUAAAUGAAGUACAUAUAUUCUAUUAAAAUACUCGUGGUAAAAUUUAAUAUUUCUUUGUAAAUUUUAAUCAACCUUAAUUAAUGAAUAGGUCGCUGUUGUAAUUCCAAUUGAAAUAAGAGCAACAUAUACUAAAAUCAUAGGCCACACUAUGGAAUAAUAUAACUUCAAUUUCCUACAAAACAAACAAUUUACCUAGAGCUUGCAAUAGUUAAAUUAAAUUUUUUCCUGAAACAUUUUCUAUAAUUAUAUUAUGUACAUACAUAUAUAUAUAAUACUAUAAUUUAUAGAAGUUGAUUAAAGUAGAUUGGUACUAAAAAUCUGAAUGGUACAACAAUAUCUGGCUAGGGCCAACUAAUUUGUAAAAUAAUUCGGUUAGGUUCAGAUUUUCGUGGGUGUAUCAGGAAUAGGUUCGUUAUUUUAUUGAGGUGGAAUAGUUUGGUUAAAACAUGUUUUCCAAAGAUUUCUGGCAGAGCAUGCAACACUAUAGUCUGUUGGUUAUUUUAAAAACUAGGACGUCUAUAUUAAUAUCAAGAUAUGAAAUGAAACCAUGAGAUUGGAGACUCGGGGUCACCCAUUUAUUUAAUACUGGAAUAUAGACAGUGUUGUAUUCUGGUAGGCCUGGUGGUAUUAAAUUACAAAUAUAAUUAAGAAAUGGUCUGCAUAUUGUGUUUAAAAAAACUUAACACGACCCGGACAUUUAUAAUUUAAAAAUUGUCGAGUUCAGGACUUGCAGGACUUAAAUAGGUUUUUCUGUCUUGAAAAAAAUUGAAAUUGAUAACAUUUUUAUUUAGAAAUAUGUAUCAGUAAGUAAAAUUAACAAUAAAUUUAUAGAUACUUACAAAUACAAUUGUAGUUGAUCAAAUAGUACUGAUUUAAACUCUUUAUAAUUUUUGGAAAAAUUGUUCUUGUUAUCUGAAAUGAUCAAUUAAAUUAAUAUAUUUGUUGGGGUUUUUUUUGUGUAAGGGAACAACUAAUUCAAAUUUCUUCACUGACAAGUGAUUUGUAACUAUUAAAUCUAACUCUUAUUUAGGUUUUACCUUUGAUUUACUUUUCUUGAUGUAUAAGUAUUAUUAGGAGUUACUAUUAAGUGCAUAUGUUUAUGCACUUAAAAUAACUGUAAUAUGUAUGCAUUUAUAAACUAAAUAAUUAUCAAAUAUGCACAAAAAUAUUUAUUAUUACCUUAAUUUUUAAGCAAGAUCUAAUCAUUUUUAAAUAGUGAUAUUUAACAUACUCGUAUCUCAUUUAAAAAUAAAAAUAUCGAAAAAUCAUGAGCGCUAGGACAUCUAUAAUCUUCUUACCUUCGAGUUUGGUAAUGAGUCAAUUUGCUAUUAAAACUAAUGGCACAACAUGUGUCUUACUGAACCCUAAUCUGCUAUGUCUUGGGUUUAUAAAACAGAGACUGUAGAUGUCGCUUUGGCGUUAAUUUGUAUUAGUAAUUAUUUGUAUUUAUUAUUUAUUUAAUAUUGCUUAUUAAUUUACAAUAAAAGCGUUACAGUGUUUUACAAUGGUUUUUUAAUUCGCUCAAAUUUUAUGCUUUUUUGCUUUAUAUUUUGUUAUUAAUUCAAAUCGUUUUUGAACAGUUCCGAAAUGUACUGAAAUAUGCAUUUAUAUUCUUAAUAUCCUAAAAUAUGCUAAGUAAAAAUAGUAUUAUUUUAUUCAGUUGAACAUGGAUCAAAUUUGUAUCCAGGUCAGCAUUGAAUUAGAUAGACCGAGAAAAAUAUGCAAUUUCAUAAACAUCCGAAUCCCAAUUAUUAUUAUUAACAGUUAUUACUAAUGUAAAUCCUAUGGAAAUGUAUUUAGUAAUUUUACCAUGGUGAGUAAUCGGUGUUAUUUUCAUAAAAGUCUAUAUGAAUAGGAUAACUAUAAUAUUAAAUAACGAAUUUUAUUGUACAUUUUUGUUUGCGUGCAACGUGCAUAAUAAUUAUUAAGUAUUAAAAGCUAUUUCACAGGUCGGAUUCAACAUAAUUAUUAGUUAGGUUAAUUUGUUUUAUUAUCACAUAGGUGCUUGUAUAAUGGUGAACUCGCACAAACGUCCAG